rnacentral:rRNA from 1 species
UACGAAGGGGGCUAGCGUUGUUCGGAAUUACUGGGCGUAAAGCGCGCGUAGGCUGUCUUGCAAGUCAGUGGUGAAAUCCCGGAGCUUAACUUCGGAACUGCCAUUGAAACUGCAAGACUGGAAUCUCAGAGGGGAUAGCGGAAUUCCAAAUGUAGGGGUGAAAUCCGUAGAUAUUUGGAGGAACACCGGUGGCGAAGGCGGCUAUCUGGAUGAGUAUUGACGCUGAGGCGCGAAAGUGUGGGGAUCAAACAGG